ensembl:lncRNA
AUGAGACUUCCAGUCCUGCUGGGUUUACAGUACAUUGAAAGCAUCUGGUGUGUUCAGUGUGUCAUGGAGCCCAGGUGUUGCAGUGAGUGAGAGGAACCAUGAGCAGACGAUGUUCUCAGGGAUCUAUAUCCCAUUGGGAAAGCAGACCACACAUGGAAAAGGACGGAAGAAUUAUUUCUGAGAUUUGUGUCACACUCAGAACUGUCCCUGCAUCUGCCUGCUUGGGAUACAGAAGUAGGGAUAGUCAUUGCUCUGGCUGUUUACAGUGAAUCAGAUGGGGACUGAUUGCACCACAGGCACAUAAAAAGAUAACACCACUACGAACAAUGAGCAGCUAUCAUUUAUCAAGUGCUUCUGGUGUGUCAGAUACUGUUUUCUCACUUUUCUAUGAUUAACUCACAAAGUCUUCCUGACCAAUGUAUGAGGAUAUAACAAUAACUUGCCUCAUUUUAAAGAUCCCAGUGGAUUCUGGAGAUAUACUGUCCUCCAAUUUUGCAAAUGUGACUGCUGCAUCCAUCAAUGAUGUGAUUAAAGAAGGUUUUAUAGAUCUAUCUACUUUUUGGUGAAAAGACUUCCUGGCUGUGUGUCUUCUGAAAAAUGAAAAAAAAAAAAAUCUCCCCACCUGAGAAGCCCUUUCAUUUAUAAUUGUUUCUUAGACAAGAAGAGGAGGUGGAUGAAUGUUUAGCUGUCUUGCACCAGCUUGCACCCACGGAUUAUUUAGUUUAAUCUCAGGAAAAAGGAGAAACAUAUGUUUUCAUCAUGGCAGAUUUUUACAGAAAUACAUAUGCAAGUGACUUUAAAAAAAAAAGAAUAUAUAUUGAAGGGAUCGAACUCGGGACCUUGCGCUUGCAAGGCGGGCACCGGAACCACUGAGCUAAAUCCCUGGCCCUACCAGACUAUUUCUAAGUAUGAAUCAUCACUCUUUGCUUGGCAUUCAGAUAGCAUUUUCAGGCCACACUACAGAUCUGCUACUGGCUUCUGACUUCACUGCCUGCCUUAGAAGUGGCAAGCCAAGCAAUCACUUGCUCAACCUUCCUGAGAGCCAGUGAUGGAAAAGAGAAGCAACUCUGGAGCAUGGAACACAAAAGUUUUGGGAGGGACUUCCCAUUGAGGUUCUUUCUUUCCCUGGAGACUCAAUGAUUUUAUGUCUAGUGGUUCAUAAGUUACAAGAUAUCUGGAAUUAGGUGAUCUGACACCCUGUGACUUCUGGCUUUCCCCAAAGACAAAAUGACCAUGGAAGGGAGACCAUGAUGGUGACAUUUGGAAGACCCUGUGUAAGGCAGGGUGAUGUUCCAUUAUUUUUUGUACUUGCUAAAACUCAGAGUUCUGAAAAGUCUGGAUGACACAAUGAAAAGUUUGUGUGCUGAGCAAAAUGUUGUCCAAUUGGCCAAUCCUCUACGUCUUGGGAAAUGUCUAGAAGCUUGGCAAGAAGUUGCUCUCAAGAGAGCACGAAUGCUGCCAAUUUCCAAUUGGCCAAGACACAUUACAAGGACAACCUUCUCUCUGAGCAACCUGGCAUUUCCAUUCCAAUUGGAAUCUGCAAUGUGAAGAUGCACAAGGGAGGGAGAUUAAACAAACGUUUUCAGAUUUCUGUUCCAGCCUCACAGUGAAAAGGUCAAGAGACUCUCUUUGAGAAGCAGCAAGAGCAGAGACGCCCAGGUACAGGGAUGACAGAGUCUUCUUUAGGUCACAAUGAUAGUACUCUGGUUGAUCUCCAAAGCACAAGAUGGCUCCAGGAAGGCUGGAUCCCAAGCAAAAGGCUUCUAGUCUUGCCACUAUGUUCCACUUUGACCUCAGGAGGAAAGAGAACCACUUUUGCAGAGAUCACUGGUGGCUUGAAAAAUUGGAAUGUUAGGGUUGAACUGUUCAACUCUAAUGGGACCCUGAGAA